rnacentral:lncRNA from 1 species
UGACGAAAAUUGUUUCUUAGAAAUUAAAAUCCUUUAAAAUUUCGAUUUUUAAGGUUUUUAAUGCAUAAGAAAAACAUUCUCUUGGUUGUGAGGUAGUUGAAAUCCUUCAAAAGUAUUGAUUUUUAAGGUGUUUAUGCAUAAGAAAAGCCUUUUCUUGGUUGUGGGGUUGUUGAAAUCCUUCAAAAGUUUUGAUUUUUAAGGUGCUAAUGCAUAGGAAAAGCAUUUUCUUGGUUGUGGGGUUGUUGAAAUGUGAAGAAAAUUGAAUCUUGGAAGUUGACAUCCUUCAAAGUUUUUGAUUUUCUUGGUUUUGGGG